rnacentral:lncRNA from 1 species
GGAGAUUUUCGCCACGUAUGAAAUUCACAAUUGACACUAUUUUCCUUUCAGAACUUGAAAAACAUUGUGCCACUUCCUCUGGCCUUGGUAGUUUCAGAAAUUUAAUUAUGAUGACACACCUUGCUUGCACAAAGGAAAGGCGAACUGAGGAUACGUGUGAGAUGGCAGGCAUCUGCAAGCCAGGAAGAUAACACUCACCAGAAAUGGAAUGUUCCAGCACCUUGAUCUUGGACUUCCUGCCUCCAGAACUGAUCAUCCAUCCACAAAGAAGACAACCUCAUGGUAAAGCAUGUGCUGGGGAAGACCAAGAUAGGAGCAAGACACAGUGCCUGUUUCAAGGGAUCUCAAGGGUGAAAAGUCAGUUCCAGAAAUACGUAUCAAUAUGUAUUCAUAGGCAAAAGACUUGUGGGCCUGAGCCUGAAGAAUUAAAUUAAGUUUAAUACAGGCAUAACUGAAGGCAAAUAGACUAGCUAGAAGUUUCUUGCAUUCAUGCAGAUGGGAGGCGGUGAUGCAGACUACAGUAAUGGUAGUGGAUACGAAGAGACGUUGACAAUUCCCAGAGAUAUCUAAGAAGUAGGAACUAUGGCAUUAAGUGAUUGGAAAACGUGGCAGUAGACAGCAAGGGAGAGGAAGAGUUAAG